AUUGAACGCUGGCGGCAUGCCUUACACAUGCAAGUCGAACGGUAACAGGUCUUCGGAUGCUGACGAGUGGCGAACGGGUGAGUAAUACAUCGGAACGUGCCCGAGAGUGGGGGAUAACGAGGCGAAAGCUUUGCUAAUACCGCAUACGAUCUCAGGAUGAAAGCAGGGGACCGCAAGGCCUUGCGCUCACGGAGCGGCCGAUGGCAGAGUAGGUAGUUGGUGGGGUAAAAGCUUACCAAGCCGACGAUCUGUAGCUGGUCUGAGAGGACGACCAGCCACACUGGGACUGAGACACGGCCCAGACUCCUACGGGAAGCAGCAGUGGGGAAUUUUGGACAAUGGGCGCAAGCCUGAUCCAGCCAUGCCGCGUGCAGGAUGAAGGCCUUCGGGUUGUAAACUGCUUUUGUACGGAACGAAAAGACUCCUUCUAAUAAAGGGGGUCCAUGACGGUACCGUAAGAAUAAGCACCGGCUAACUACGUGCCAGCCGCCGCCGUAAAAC
rnacentral:rRNA from 1 species